rnacentral:rRNA from 1 species
AGUGAACGCUGGCGGUAGGCCUAACACAUGCAAGUCGAACGGCAGCACAGUAAGAGCUUGCUCUUACGGGUGGCGAGUGGCGGACGGGAGAGGAAUACAUCGGAAUCUACUUUUUCGUGGGGGAUAACGUAGGGAAACUUACGCUAAUACCGCAUACGACCUACGGGUGAAAGCAGGGGAACUUCGGACCUUGCGCGAUUGAAUGAGCCGAUGUCGGAUUAGCUAGUUGGCGGGGUAAAGGCCCACCAAGGCGACGAUCCGUAGCUGGUCUGAGAGGAUGAUCGGCCACACGAGAACUGAGACACGGUCCAGACUCCUGCGGUAGGCAGCAGUGGGGAAUAUUGGACAAUGGGCGCAAGCCUGAUCCAGCCAUACCGCGUGGGUGAAGAAGGCCUUCGGGUUGUAAAGCCCUUUUGUUGGGAAAGAAAAGCAGCAGGUUAAUACCCCGCUGUUCUGACGGUACCCAAAGAAUAAGCACCGGCUAACUUCGUG